rnacentral:misc_RNA from 1 species
GAUGAAGAACGUAGUGAAAUGCGAUACGUAGUGUGAAUCGCAGAAUUCAGUGAAUCAUCGAAUCUUUGAACGCACAUUGCACCUCUCGGUAUUCCGGGAGGUAUGCCUGUUCGAGCGUCAUUUGUACCCUCAAGCCCUGCUUGGUGUUGGGUGUUUGUUCCGCCUCUGUGUGUGAACUCGCCUCAAAACAAUUGGCAGCCGGCGUACUUGUUUCGGAGCGCAGCACAUUUUGCGAUCCAGAUCAACGUACAGCGGCAUCCAAGAAGCCUUAUUUAACGCUCUUGACCUCGGAUCAGGUAGGGAUACCCGCUGAACUUAAGCAUAUCAAUAAGCGGAGGA